rnacentral:sRNA from 1 species
CUCUAGUAUGUAUGUAUGUGUGCGAGUAAGGCUUAUGACGCCGAUUUCAAAUUUUGUCAGUUGAACACACCUACACAUUCAAAUUCAAAUUUACGAGUAAAUACACGAAAUACGUUAGCCACAAAAAGGGCUAAAAAUAAGUAACUCACUCAAUACAAAUAAUUAGCUGACUCAGCAAACGGUUGUAAAUUUAAAUUCUAUAUAAAACCCCGUAUUUGAAGCGAGUCCGCGCAUUGAGGAAACGAACGUGCUGAUGAGAAGACAAUGAAGUUGUUUGUGAUAUUUGCCGCAGCGCUGCUUGGCGUGCAAGCAGUACGAGUGCCGUAUGUAGUCACCGACGCCGAUGGAGAGAAAUAUCAAAUAUUACUGCCACAACAACGUCAAGGACCCGUGUAUAAUCGUCCUGCAUUUGAGUACAAACCGAAUGACUACGAAGUGUAUUUAUCGCCGUUGGAUCAAGAAGAAGUGAAGUUACAGCGUGGCGUGGAUUUGGAUAGCAGACGUCCCGUCUACGAUUACAGCGCUGAAGACUAUCACUGGCCGCCAUAUAGGCAAGAUGUUGUUGGUGCAGCGCGACGCCGCGCCGAUUCCGCGAAGCAAUCGGACUCUGCAUCCAGCGACGAAGAAGACCAAAGUAAACAGGAAAGACGUGGCAAUGCGCGUAGUGGACAACAAUAUGGCUCAGAUUCGCAAGAGCGCGAAACUGAUGAUGAAGAUGAAUACAAUUUGAUUUUGCCAGCAUGCAUUGCAAGGGCAAGUGCAUGUGCCCGGCCUUGGUGUAGUCAAUGCGCCUGCCGUUAAGAAGGUUAAGGUUAAAGUGCCGCACUACGCAGAUGCCUUCCUCAGACAACAAAUAAUUGAACAAUACUUGGCUGCGCAGGGUUUGAAUCCGGCAGGCUUUGAUGUGAAGGGUUUGGUUGCACGUGGCCCACAUGCAGAAACACCGCGUGAACGUGGUUGGGAUCUACAAUACUCAGAUAAUCAACAGCGAAAGCUAGACGGUUUCCACGUCCAAUUAAUUUGCAACAACUCAUGUAUGUUACAGUGCCGGAACGUAAGCGACGUCAAGCUGUAGAAGUAAGCGCCACAACCAACCCAAUCGAUACCACAACAGUACCUGAUGUAACCGAGACAAGUACAAACGCUGAAGCAACUACAGUCAGCGAGUUGGCGGAGGGUGUCACCGUUCCAACUGACACACCGUUAGGCAGCCAUGACAACCAUACCAAAUGCAGUACCUACAGUUGUAACACCGUCCAUUUCCGUAACUACCAGUAAUCCUACAAUACUUUCCACACCCGAGUCUGUACCAAUUAUACCGCUAUUCGGUUAUGGUUCAAUAUUACCAGCUGAGGUCUCGCACGUCGCUUUUGCACCGCGUAUACCACUCAACCCAUUAGCAGCUACUAGCAGCACCACUGAGCUUCCAUUGGACGCAGUUUUGCCGUUCAAUAAAGCUAAUACUAGAGGUUUAAAACGACAUGUGAUGGCAGCAUCGCAUUUAACGGUAAACAGUCGGUCCUGCACGUGCGGUGCCUUUCGAUGGAAAAGUCCGCACACAACUGACCAAGGUCACGCCGGUACCACCGUUGCCAAAUACGGAUGUGCGUGGUCCCAAAAUGUCCGACUUGCCACUUACGCGUAAGGCGCGUGCUGUGAACGCAGCACCUGUAACUGCCGCCGUAACGGAGGUUAAUGCUCCCGUUGAGGAAGUGAAGACGGAAACAACGGCAGUCAAUUGCGAUAUACAGUGCACCAAAUUAGAUUUGAACCCUGUUUGUGCAUUCAAUGGCGAGUGUUAUCACGAAUUCGCAAAUCAAUGUGCGAUGGAGACCUUCAUAUGCCAGCGUCCGGAUUUGGGUUUCACGGCAACGCCGAGAGAGCGUUGUGUUAUGCAUUGGCUCAAGCGUUGCACAUAA